CACGAAUUCUGGAAUUCAGGUACUCAUAUGGUAGUUAUUCAGGAUUUGUAAUCACACUUUAAGUAGAUAUUAUGCAAUGUGAAACCAACCCAGGCCUGAUUCUUCAACCACUGACAAGGAACUUGCUUCUAUGAUCGAGAGUGUUUCCGAGAAACAACAUUUUACCGCAAAAUGGCUUCAACUGCCGAGAUUGGAUGGGAUUUUAGUACAAGAUGGAUGAGGUAGAUUUUUGAAACAGGGAGAAGUAAUUGAUUUAGCAUUUAUACUCCUACAUUAACAUUUUAUUGAAAGCACAAUAGAGUAUGUUUUGAGUU